GACGAACGCUGGCGGCGUGCUUAACACAUGCAAGUCGAACGAAGUGGCGAACGGGUGAGUAACGCGUAAUCAACCUGCCCUUCAGAGGGGGACAACAGUUGGAAACGACUGCUAAUACCGCAUACUGAAGGAGGGGAUUGCGUCGGAUUAGCUAGUUGGGGGGGUAAAGGGCUACCAAGGCGAUGAUCAGGAGCCGGGCUGAGAGAAGGAAAGGCAAAAUUGGGACUGAGACACGGCCCAGACGCAGACGGGAGGAGGCAGGGGGGAAUAUGCCGCAAUGGAAGACAGGCUGACGGAGCAACGCCGCGUUAGUGAUGACGGCCUUCGGGUUGUAAAGCUCUGUUAAUCGGGACGCGUUACCGGAAUAGAAAGCCACGGCUAACUACGUGCCAGCAGCCGCGGUAAUUC
rnacentral:rRNA from 1 species